rnacentral:rRNA from 1 species
GCUAAACGCGAAGAACCUUACCAGGCCUUGACAUGCAGAGAACUUUCCAGAGAUGGAUUGGUGCCUUCGGGAACGUCUGACACAGGUGCUGCAUGGCUGCCGUCAGCUCGUGUCGUGAGAUGUUGGGUUAGGUCCCGUAACGAGCGCAACCCUUGUCCUUAGUUACCAGCACGUUAUGGUGGGCACUCUAAGGAGACUGCCGGUGACAAACCGGAGGAAGGUGGGGAUGACGUCAAGUCAUCAUGGCCCUUACGGCCUGGGCUACACACGUGCUACAAUGGUCGGUACAGAGGGUUGCCAAGCCGCGAGGUGGAGCUAAUCUCACAAAACCGAUCGUAGUCCGGAUCGCAGUCUGCAACUCGACUGCGUGAAGUCGGAAUC